GCUAAAGCCAUGAAAAGGCUCCUUUUCAACCAAAAUAUUUAGCCAGUAAAAAUUAUUCUGUUUUCCUCACCGAUUAGAAGGAUACGUUUGUAAAUCCUCCUCGCCGGCGCGCCGAGCAGGUGAAAACAAACGCCGGGGGGAUUAUUAGGCGGGUGAACUCUCGACCCGGCCGCCUCCCAACGGUGAAAAAUGUCUCACCAUCCUGGCGAAGAAACGGGGCGGAAUAAGGAAUAAGCCCUUUUCGUGUCGUUCUCACCAGUUCCGGGUCCUAAGCGGCGGUCAAAGUGUCCCAACUUGUCAGAUUUUACCACCAGCCAGCUUCUGUCCAGGAACCGUUCAAAUGGGCGAAAAGGAUGAACCUUCAGAGUUCCUCGAGAGGUCAUCAAGAAGUGGCGGAAGAGUGCAAGAUUUUACGAAAGACGACGACAAAAGUGGCACAGAUUACAGUCUAAGGGAGUUUAAGAAUGC